rnacentral:rRNA from 1 species
AGUGAACGCUGGCGGUAGGCCUAACACAUGCAAGUCGAACGGCAGCACAGUAAGAGCUUGCUCUUACGGGUGGCGAGUGGCGGACGGGUGAGGAAUACAUCGGACUCUACUUUUUCGUGGGGGUUAACGUAGGGAAACUUACGCUAAUACCGCAUACGCCCUACGGUUGAAAGCAGGGGAUCUUCGGACCUUUCGCGAUUGAAUGAGCCGAUGUCGGAUUAGCUAGUUGGCGGGGUAAAGGCCCACCAAGGCGACGAUCCGUAGCUGGUCUGAGAGGAUGAUCAGCCGCACUGGAACUGGGACACGGUCCAGACUCCUACGGGAGGCCGCAGUGGGGAAUAUUGGACAAUGGGCGCAAGCCUGAUCCAGCCAUACCGCGUGGGUGAAGAAGGCCUUCGGGUUGUAAAGCCCUUUUGUUGGGAAAGAAAAGCAGCAGGUUAAUACCCCGCUGUUCUGACGGUACCCAAAGAAUAAGCACCGGCUAACUUCGUG